GCGUUGAUGGUGUAGCGGUGUAGAGCAUUCCUGCCUGGUCAGCAAGAGGUGCGGGUUUGAAUCCCGCCUAGCACU
rnacentral:tRNA from 1 species